AAAAGCCCGUUUUGUUUUCUUGGGCCUUAACCUUCCUGAUUCUAUUGUUAUCAGUGUCUGACAUGCUGCUACCCAUGAUUCUGCACCCCUCCGUUCAGUUCAUUGUUGGUCCAGAACCUCGGCUCAGAGAUUUUGUCUAGAAGAAGAAUCAAGCCAUAAAACAGAUGGCCUGAUAUUUUGUAUGGAAAAUCUUAGGAAUCCACCAAAUAUUAGAAUUAAUGGAUGUGUUCAGCAGGGUUGCAGGUUAUAAG